GAAGCGAGGGAUGUAGAGAGAGCGAGAGCGAGAGCAAGGUCGAGAGCGAUUUGUAGAUGUCCGUUUGCGUGCUCUGCUUCAGGUGGCCGGUGGCUCCCAAUCCCAACCCCAACCCAAGUCCCCGCCCCAGUCCCAACUCAUCACCAAAUUCUCCAACGUCAUACGAACGUCACUGACGGAGAACAGCGGAGAGCACGUUGGUGAGGACGCUGAGGGGCCUGUCUCGUGGCUGGCUGGCGUUCUCGCGUCCAUUUUUGAGACGCGCAUUGAGGAAGCAGCCACUCCGCCCCCCAUGGCCCCCGCCGUCCCCAUGGCCCCCGCUGCCGCCAUGGCCCCCGCCACCACCAUGGCCCCCGCCACCACCAUGGCCCCCGCCGCCCCCGUGGCACCCACAGCCGCCACGGCCCCAACGGCCACAGUGGCCGCAACGGCCUCCGUGGCCCCCGCGUUUUGUUUUGUGUGUUGGGCCCGUGUCCCCGAGAUACGGGCCCACGUCAAUAGUCGCCACCGGGGGCCGCAAGGGGAGCGGUUCAGGUGCGUGGCCUGCCCUGGAGGCCGCGUGUUCGCUAAACACUGCGACCUGGCGGCGCACUGCGAGGAGGAGCACGCCGCCCGCUGUGCUGCUUCACGGCGCCCCGUGGUGCUCCCCGUGGUGCCGCUGCCAGCCCCACAUCCACCACCUGAGGGACGCGGACGGGCCCCCAGGCGACCCCGAGGACGGCCACCGGGACGAGCACCCGGGCGACCCUCCCUGGCACCCCCUGGACCUGGACGCCCUGCUGGAGGGCGCCGCCGUGGACGACCCCCUGGCCGGACCGCAGGCGUGCAACGGAGUGCGGGCGUAGCCCAGCGGGCCUGCUGGCGCUACUUGCUUAAGAGACCAGGAGGGGCACGCAAUGAGGUGGCGGCGCCGAACCCGCGGCCCGGGGGCCGUUGGGUAUUUGUUGAGGAUUCACCUCCCCCACGGGCCAUGCGGCAAUGAAUUAAUCUAAUAUAGUUAUCAUUAUUUUUUUGUUCAGUUUCAUUUAUUUUAUUUAUUGAUUGUUUAUUUGAUUGUUGUCUUAUUAAAAGGUUUACGUGAAUUGUA